rnacentral:lncRNA from 1 species
CUUAAGUCCAAUUAUGAUUUUUAUAAAAAAAAAUUUUCAUCAAUCACACUAUUGUGACCAUAGAUUUUUGGAUUUAGCCUCUCAAAUUCUAUAGGACUACUCCUCUCUAUCAAGAUCGAUAGAUUCCAUCUUGAUGCGCAUCCUACUCCUACAGUGGAUCAACUGUUGCCAACGUCCACUGCAAGGGCUCAUUGAGAUCCAUGU